rnacentral:rRNA from 1 species
GUUGUGGAUGAACGAACAAAGCUUUUAGUUUAGGAAGCAUCGCUGAUAGCUGUGGUUCAGGCUUGGAUCCUAUUGGUCCAUAAGAGAGUUGUUCGUCGGGAGAAACCUCUCAUCCGGUAUGAUCCGAUGUUAAUCCGGGAUAAUGAGAGGAUAGCGAAUCUGAACUACAUCUACAACUGCAAUGAUACAGAGGCUCUGUGGAUGCUUCGAAUGAAAAGAGCACCUUUCGCCAGGCUUGUGCAGACGUUCAGGACCGGGGGGCUACUAGAAGAUAGCAUCCACACCACCGUGGAAGAGCAAGUAGCCAUGUUCCUCCAUGUUGUUGGUCAUAACCAGAGGUUCAUGGUUGUAAAUAACACCUUCAGGAGAUCAAUGGAGACCAUCUCCAGGUACUUCAAGCAAGUGAUGUAUGAUGUUGGGGAGUUCAGAAGAGAGAUGAUCAGGUCACCAACCGGCCGGAGUCCUACCAAGAUUCGCACUAGCCCAAGGUGGUAUCCAUACUUCAAGGUGAGCACUGACAAUAUGUAG